rnacentral:rRNA from 1 species
AGAGUCACUCCUACGGGAGGCAGCAGUGGGGAAUAUUGGACAAUGGGCGCAAGCCUGAUCCAGCCAUGCCGCGUGAGUGAAGAAGGCCUUCGGGUUGUAAAGCUCUUUCGGCGGGGACGAAACGGUUCGUGACAACACCGCGGACUAAUGACGGUACUCGCAGAAGAAGCACCGGCCAACUACGUGCCAGCAGCCGCGGUAAUACGUAGGGUGCAAGCGUUGUCCGGAAUUACUGGGUGUAAAGGGUCCGCAGGCGGGCGAGCAAGUCGGUGGUGAAAGUCUUUGGCUCAACCAAAGAAUUGCCUUCGAUACUGCUCGUCUUGAGUUCGAGAGAGGAUAAUGGAAUUCAUGGUGUAGCGGUGAAAUGCGUAGAGAUCAUGAAGAACACCAGUAGCGAAGGCGGUUAUCUGGCUCGAUACUGACGCUCAGGGACGAAAGCGUGGGUAGCAAACAGGAUUAGAUACCCCGGUAGUCCUGGCCCUAAACGAUGAAUGCUUGGUGUGGCGGGUAUCGAUCCCUGCCGUGCCGAAGCUAACGCAUUAAGCAUUCCGCCUGGGGAGUACGGUCGCAAGGCUGAAACUUAAAGGAAUUGACG